rnacentral:rRNA from 1 species
GAUGAACGCUAGCGGCAGGCCUAACACAUGCAAGUCGAGGGGUAACUAGAGUGAUAGCAAUAUUACUUUGGCUAGACCGGCGCACGGGUGCGUGACACGUAUGCAACCUACCUUAUACUGGGGAAUAACUUCGAGAAAUCGGCGCUAAUACCCCAUAACAUUGCGAAGAGGCAUCUCUUUGCAAUUAAAGCUCCGGCGGUAUAAGAUGGGCAUGCGUCCAAUUAGCUAGUUGGUGAGGUAACGGCUCACCAAGGCUACGAUUGGUAGGGGUCCUUAGAGGAAUAACCCCCACACUUGCACUGAGACACGGAGCAGACGACUACGGGAGGCAGCAGUGAGGAAUAUUGCGCAAUGGACGAAAGUCUGACGCGGCCAUGCCGCGUGCAGGAUGACGGCCCUAUGGGUUGUAAACUGCUUUUGUACGGGAAUAAACCCUUCUACGUGUAGGAGGCUGAAGGUACCGUAAGAAUAAGCACCGGCUAACUCCGUGCCGGCAGCCGCAGUAAAAC